rnacentral:lncRNA from 1 species
ACGCAAGGCCGUGGCGGCGACCAACAGCCGGUGCUCUGCGCGGCAACGCACAGCGCACAGCGCGGUUUGAACCAGCGCGGAGACGGGUUACAAAGCGCAAGACCAGGCAUCAAUGGCAGCGUCGCCCGGCCUGCGACGCGGCAGCAACCCCAAACAGCCGACACUUGAAGCAGCGACGUCGUCCAGAGCGACGGGACGGCCUUGACCUCCCGGACGGCGGCGCGUCUUCCACGCGCGGUCCACGACCCACUUCCUGCAGCGUGGAGGAAUUGGCCCCCAAUCAGCACAGGACAGAAACAAACGCUAUGUUGUCGCGGAGGUGGUCAUCGACCGGCGCGCGGCAGCGCGAUCCUGAGCCCGGGCGAAGGCAGCCCACGGGGGGCAAGGCACAGCGCAACCAUCAAUUGACCCGCAGUGCACAGUCGUCAUCUGUCUCCAUGAGCGGAACGCACGUACAUGAAGGACAUGGAUUCCUAUCCACACACAGACGCACGGGAUAAGGAAUUUGUCAAACCUUAUCCUUACGCAGUUUUGCAAUUUCGUCCUUCCUAUGUUUAUUAUCAAUAGGAAGGCCCCGCGUUUCUCUAUUAAUCCCUCAGGCUUCACAGAUUUGACAGAGUUCUGUCAUCUUGAUGCAUAAAAGCCUUUAUGCUUAUUAAAACCUAUGAUUAGGUCAUUGUCAGUACAAUAUAUACCCUCAGGUUGCAUUACAUUCAUGUUUUGUAAGUCAAUAUUCU